rnacentral:rRNA from 1 species
ACGCUCGACACCUACGCGAGGCAGCAGUGGGGAAUAUUGCACAAUGGAGGAAACUCUGAUGCAGCGAUGCCGCGUGAGGGAAGAAGGUUUUCGGAUUGUAAACCUCUGUCUUUGGGGACGAUAAUGACGGUACCCAAGGAGGAAGCUCCGGCUAACUACGUGCCUGCAGCCGCGGUAAUCUGAGCGGGCUGGCAAGGC